CUCGUAGGCGGUUCAGUAAGUCGGCUGUGAAAGUCCGGGGCUCAACCCCGGAACUGCAGUCGAUACUGCUGUGACUAGAAUCAGGUAGAGGAGAAUGGAAUUCCCGGUGUAGCGGUGGAAUGCGCAGAUAUCGGGAGGAACACCAGUAGCGAAGGCGGUUCUCUGGGCCUGUAUUGACGCUGAGGAGCGAAAGCGUGGGGAGCAAACA
rnacentral:rRNA from 1 species